GCCGCUUUAGCUCAGUUGGUUAGAGCAGCUGUUUUGUAAACAGCAGGUCCUGGGUUCGAAUCCCUGAAGCGGCUCCA
rnacentral:tRNA from 3 species